CUCAAUGAAAAUUCAAUAGCCGCAAUUUUGUGCUAAGGUAGCAUAAUCAUUUGUCUUUUAAUUAAAGUCUAGAAUGAAAGAUUUAAUAUUUUAAUUUCUUUAUCAAAUAUAACAAUUUAAAUUAUUUCAAAUAUAAAAAAAUAUUUAUAUUAAAAAAAGACGACAAGACCCUAUUGAACUUAACUAAAGUUAAACUGGGGCAGUUAAUUAAAUACUAUUUUAAUUCAAAUUUUAAAAACAACCUAAAAUAUUUAACACAUCAAGUUACCAUAGGGAUAACAGCGUAAUAAUUUUCUUAAGUUCUUAUUUCAAAAAUUGUUUGCGACCUCGAUGUUGAAUUAAUAAUCUAUAUAAUGCAAUAAUUAAUAAGAAAGUC
rnacentral:rRNA from 1 species